rnacentral:misc_RNA from 1 species
UUCCUCAUGAACUCUGAUUCUGUGACUGCCCUUACAAAUCAACUUUAAAAUGAACAUCACAUCUCAGUGCUUGAAAUAAUUAAUAUCCCCAAAGAGGAAUGUUUUAUGUUAAUUCAGAUCUUCAGACACCUUUGAAAGACGUCUACUUUUCACUCCCAAUUUAUUUUUGUGAUAUAUUUUCUGAAUAGAAAGUUCCUUUUGUUGCACCUUGGUAGAAAAAGAAUGUAAGCUAGACCUACCAUCAAUCAUGUUUUAUACAAAUAAGACCUUGGGCUGUUUCUGUGAUAAAUUUUUCUUUAAUAAAUGCACACUUUUAGUGUGCAUGUGUAACAUAUGUAUAUUUUGUAGUAAGAACUGAAUAUGUGAAGAGAUAUAUGUAUUGUAUGAACCUGUUUAACUUAUGUUUUCAAUAAAAAAAAAAAAAAGUU